AUGGAGGAGGCCGCACCCGCACUCCGGCCUCUCGGGCUGGUCGGUAUCUUCCACGAGGCCCUCCGCGUCGCCCGCUCCCACCCCCCAGGCUCUGCCUUGUUGGCCGGCCAGGUGCUCGUGCUCACCAUGUCCUUCCUCGCCCACAUUGCCAUCUGCCCCGCCCUCUUCCCCCACGCCCUCGCCUCCUCCAACGCCGGCGCCGGCCUCCUCCGUCUCGCCGCGAACUGGGCACCCUUCUUCCUCGUAGAGGCGGCCUUCCACCUCGCCAUCGCCGUCCAGUCGUUCGGCGCCACCGCCUUCGUCGUCUUCUCCGUCCGCCCGCGCUACGGCGUGAGGGACGAUCGCGCCUGGCGCCUCGUGGUCACCAGCUUCGACGCCUUCCUCCUCCUCCUCGGCUGCACCGCCCUCUUCGGCACCGCCGCCUGGUGCGGCGUGCAACUGGCGCUGGUGGCACUGCUGCUGCUGGUCGGUGGCGUGUACUUCGCCGGGGCUGGGCACAUCGGCUCGGUGUGGCGCGUCGGCUCUGUGAUGAUGGUGCUGGAGGACGCCUGGGGCUUCCGCGCCCUGUGCAUGAGCGACGAGCUCCUGCUCGACGCCCGCAUGUUCUGGGCCCCGUCCGCCGUCGCCGUGUUCACGCUCACGCUCGUCGGCUGCAUCCUGGCCGUGCAACUGGCCUUCAGCGCGCUGGUGGUCCACGAUGUGAUGGGCCUCGGCGUCUGGCUCCGAGUGGCCGCGGGGGUGGUGAUGACGGUGGCGCUGUGGGCGGCGCUGAUGGCUGGGCUGGUGUUCUUCGUGUGCAACAGCCACCACCCCGAGAGCUUCGUCAACGUCGCCAACGUCGGCCGCCGGCUUUAG
rnacentral:rRNA from 1 species